rnacentral:lncRNA from 1 species
GGAAUUUGGAUGCGUCACUGUGCUCCCUGCUUUCAAGGAUAACAAGCCUUUGCCCCGGGGGUGUUUGGGCAGCUGCAGGCUGGCCCGGUGCUCAGACACCAGCUGGGCCAGGCCCCGGGGGCGGUGGGGUGCCGAGCAAGCUCUCUGGGUGCCUUCCUACUCGCUGGGUGUUCCAGGGAGGUAGUGGGGGUCCCCAAGUCCUGACUCCUCCCAUGGGCCGUCCUCUAGGCUCGCACAGCUGGGGCCUCCCUGCCUCCUAAUUCCUGCCUGGGGGAGCAACUUCCUCCCGCAGCCUCCGCUUCCUGCUCUGCUAAAGGGCUAAAGACUCUACCUCCCCACAGGGCUGCCAGGGAGCCUCAGGCUGCGGGACGCUGCCCUGAAGCCUGGUCUGGCAGGCCCACUUCCUCAGUACCCGCAUCUGCUGCUGACGUGGACGCCCCGCACCUUCCUUGGAGCGCAGGAAGAGCCGCGGACAUGAGGGCCGUACCUUAGGAAUGCUGCAGCCUCAGCGCCGGUCCUGCGGGUCCUGCCGCUCCCUAGAUGGCUUCUCUGUCCAGCCUCCCUGCCCUCUCUCAUCUCAGGCUGAGAAUGGAGCCCCCCGCCCUGGUGCCAGCAGGCGGGACACCUGCUGUGGAGGCUUGGAAGACGUCGGUGGCUUCUGCGAGUGCCCCUCUGCCAGUGCCGCUCCUGAGGGUGUUCCUUUUGACCUCACCCCCCUCUUCCUCCUGUCCUCGGGAGCAGGCUACUGGAUCCAGCCCGAUGGGAGCCCACAGGGACAGCCAGACCAAAGCCACCUCUGGGAGGGACUCAGGUGGUGAUGGUGGUGGUGGACAGCCAGACCUGUUCCCUGGGGAGCAGCAGCAAAGGGUGGACACACAUGUGGUCUGCCCUGCUCCCAGUGUGGACGCCGAGUGGCCCUUGCACAGUUUGCUAAGGUGUCCCAAUAAAGCCCCACUGGCCCCAUCCUGGUGAAGCCUUGCUUCUACCCUCAGGGUCACGGAGAAGAGAGGCCACCUCCUGACGGGAACCGGAGGCCCCGGAGGAGUCUGGGGAUGGGACACUGCUGGCCGCAGGCCCCUGUGUGCCUUCUCUUCUCCUGCUGUGCUGCUCUGCCUUGGGGCUGGGGUCGGGUCAGCUUGGAGGGGUCAGAGGUCAGGCCUGGCCUGGGGUGUGGCCCUGCCACCUUCUCCCCUAGACCUGACCUGUUGAUGGGGUCGGUGGGAACUCGCUGGCCCCUGGCCAGCAUGGGAGCCCUGAGGGUGCUGGGAGGAAGGCCUUCUUCCUUUCCCGUUGCUGGCCCGGAGCCUGUGGGCAGCCCCCAGGGAAGGGUGGGGACAGGACAUGGCGGGUGUGUUGACCUCACAGACUCUCUGCUGGGCCAGCUGUGCUGGUGGACGCACUGGGACCUGUCCCGCUGCCCAGGACAGGUCCCCUGGGAGCUGGGAAGCAGAUCCAAUAAAG